AUCCUUUUAUAGUUCAUAAGCGUGAUGAUUGGGUUUUCAUGCGCAUGCGUUGAGAUGUGCCUCCCUCAAACCUUGUUACGACAUUGGCACAUUACCCGUCUGACA
rnacentral:snoRNA from 1 species